UAUUCUAGAUUUAAUUUUCACAUCCAUUUGUUGCAACUAAAGAUUAAAGUGUGCAACUAAAGCCAGAAUGAUUCGAAGGGAAUCUUUCUUUGAUA